rnacentral:tRNA from 3 species
GCGCCCGUAGCUCAACUGGACAGAGCAUCAGACUUCGGAUCUGAGGGUUGGGGGUUCAAGUCCCUCCGGGCGCGCCA